AUCCCCUCCAGCCCACCCGCACGCACGUGUGACGAUCCCCUCACCGUCGCCCCUCUCCGGAACGCCGCCGUCUGGAUCGCCGCCGCCGUCGCCGCCGCCGUCUCUCCGGAUGGCCGCCGCCGCCGCCAUCUCUCCGGAUCGCUGCCCCCGCCGCCUUCGUCACCGCCGUCUCUCCGGAUCGCCGCCGCCGUCUCUCUGGAUCGCUGCUGCCGUAUCUCCGGAUCGCAGCCACCGCCGCCGUCUGGAUCGUCGCCGCCGUCACACAGAAGACAGUGCAGGAGCUGCCGCCGCCGCCCGCCCCCAUCUCCUCCCCUGAUCCAACUAAACAUCCCGUAAACUGAAAAAGAGGGUGAUUGGUUAGGAUGCUGGAGCAGCUAACAAGGAGGGGCGGACACGUGAACGAGAUGGGAAGACAACUCACUUUGCCCCUCCUCCAAGCACAUCAGCGACUCUUCGAUCUGCUUCUCUCCCUCGCAAGAUAUGAGAUUCUUAUAUACCAUUGCUGCAACCUGUUGCACACAUGCAAUUCUAUUGUUUUGUGUAAGAGUCAUUGACUUUUGUGGAGAAGUUCGCGUCACGAUGGAAUUCUGCUGUCAAGGUCGCCAUGUCGGCGAGCUCGUUGGCGUCAUACUGCCCCAACAGGAGCGCCAUCGGGUCGGCCGCGCUGCUGGCGGCUGCAACCAUGGAUGAUGGAAAUUGUGAGUCCUGCAAAAUCUGUACGUGGGUUAGGAUAACAGGUUGAGCCAUCUGUUCCUCUACAGUCAAACGCUUGAUUGGGAUGUUCUAUCCAUGAUGGGAUCAGAUUCAUGAAACUCGAUCUGUUGAAGAAGUUUCAGUCCAGCUUCACUCACCGCCUUUCAUUGUCAUCGAGACAACCGACAUUGCUCAGAACGCCGCAUCCCCGGCCUACUCUCUCUUCACCCGUCAAUGCUCAUGUGCUCCGACCCUCCCCGACCCCUCCCAGCAAGCAGCAGAGUCUCUCUUGUUCGAGCUCCACCGGGCCGGCGGCGGCGACGUCCAUGGGCGGAGCACAACGCUGGGGUUGAAAUCCACCAUGCUGCUACUGAUGAGGCUCUCCUCCUUUGUCCACCGGUUAUCAGACAACUGCGUAUGAGACUUCCACCGUCGUACACUCAUUUGAUCGUGCUGAUGCGCCUGGCUGUGGGAUGGCUUCUGCUGGGAUGCUCCAAGAUUUCACGAAUCCAUUAUGACGAAAUAGGGUGGCCGCCCGCUUUAUUUCAUGAAUCCAUUAUCGCCUACAGAAUAACGUCCUGGCCCUCCAAGUUUGAGUGAUUCUCUUUAUUUUGCUAUAUCUCAACUGUACAUGCAUCGUUUAUGUUCGCCGGCCCGCGCCCCCGUGUCUCCUCACGUUAAUGUGGCUGCUGGCCGCGGGACUGACGAGGAGGUCAUGGUGGAGCGGUGGUGCUGGCUGUGGCCUAGCAGGAUAUCAUAAGUUCUCCCUUGUUCUUUUGUGUUUGAAUCAGAUUUAGUGGUUCUUGAUUUUACAGGCAUGCAUCGAUCUUGCUCAUGUUCUGUAUGUAGGAUACACUUAAUGUUUUAUGGGAUGUUCUGCAGAUUUUUAGAACACUAAGGGCAUAUCUUGGCUUGAAUGCUGCUGGGUCGAUGAAGGUCAUGCAACAUGGCAGGUGAGUGCUCCUCUCCCCUUUCCCUCUAUGCUAAAAAUUAGUUCCAAUUUCCAUGCAAGUUCGCCAAUUUAGAUCUAGAGGUAAAGGUUCUGUACGAGGUUAGGUAGCAUGGUCUUGCUGGUGACUACUUGAACUCAAGUUGGACAACAUAUGCAAUAUCCAAUUCAGCGAGAUAUCAUGACUCGAUUUCACUUUCAUUCCACAGUUGAGAUCAUAAUUUGAUUGAUAUUUUGCAUCUUUUAUAGAUAUAGAUUGAUAACAUUUAAUGAUGUUAUAGGAUAUAUAUAAUGAUUAGAAAA